AUGGACUGCAUUUCAGUUCUGCUGCUUUUGGCAACAGCACAUUGUUGUUUCUGUAUUGAACUGGACCAGCCUCCUUUCAUGGUAGUAAAACCAGGAGAAACGUUCACCAUCGCCUGUAAGAUCACUGGAUAUUCAGCCUCAGAUGGCAGCACCUGUACCAAUUGGAUCAGACAUUCGGCUGGAAAACCGAUGGAAUGGAUUGGAUAUUUCUGUAGUUCCAGUAGCAAGGGUGUCACAGAUUCACUGAAAAAUAAAAUCAGUCUCUCUUCUGAAUCCUCGAACAAUGCAGUUAUUUUAACAGGAAGAAACUUCAUCACUGAGGACACAGCUGUGUAUUACUGUGCUCGCUAUACACAGCACUAUAAACUGCCUCAGAACCUGUACAAUAAAUUCUGCACUGAACACAUUUUUCAAUAA